rnacentral:rRNA from 1 species
GGAUAACGUUUGGAAACGAACGCUAAUACCGCAUGAUAUUAUUGAGCUGCAUGGCUUGAUAAUCAAAGGAGCAAUCCGCUGAAAGAUGGGCUCGCGUCCGAUUAGGUAGUUGGCGGGGCAACGGCCCACCAAGCCGACGAUCGGUAGCCGGACUGAGAGGUUGAACGGCCACAUUGGGACUGAGACACGGCCCAGACUCCUACGGGAGGCAGCAGUGAGGGAUAUUGGUCAAUGGGGGAAACCCUGAACCAGCAACGCCGCGUGAGGGAAGACGGUUUUCGGAUUGUAAACCUCUGUCCUCUGUGAAGAUAAUGACGGUAGCAGAGGAGGAAGCUCCGGCUAACUACGUGCCAGCAGCCGCGGUAAUACGUAGGGAGCAAGCGUUGUCCGGAUUUACUGGGUGUAAAGGGUGCGUAGGCGGCUUUGCAAGUCAGAAGUGAAAUCCAUGGGCUUAACCCAUGAACUGCUUUUGAAACUGCAGAGCUUGAGUGGAGUAGAGGUAGGCGGAAUUCCCGGUGUAGCGGUGAAAUGCGUAGAGAUCGGGAGGAACACCAGUGGCGAAGGCGGCCUGCUGGGCUCUAACUGACGCUGAGGCACGAAAGCGUGGGUAGCAAACAGGAUUAGAUACCCUGGUAGUCCACGCUGUAAACGAUGAUUACCAGGUGUGGGUGGACUGACCCCAUCCGUGCCGGAG